GACGAACGCUGGCGGCGUGCUUAACACAUACAAGUCGAGCGAUAAAGCUCCUUCGGGAGUGGAUUAGCGGCGGACGGGUGAGUAACACGUGGGUAACCUGCCUCAUAGAGGGGAAUAGCCUUUCGAAAGGAAGAUUAAUACCGCAUAAGAUUGUAGCUUCGCAUGAAGCAGCAAUUAAAGGAGUAAUCCGCUAUGAGAUGGACCCGCGUCGCAUUAGCUAGUUGGUGAGGUAACGGCUCACCAAGGCGACGAUGCGUAGCCGACCUGAGAGGGUGAUCGGCCACAUUGGGACUGAGACACGGCCCAGACUCCUACGGGAGGCAGCGGUGGGGAAUAUUGCACAAUGGGGGAAACCCUGAUGCAGCAACGCCGCGUGAGUGAUGACGGUCUUCGGAUUGUAAAGCUCUGUCUUCAGGGACGAUAAUGACGGUACCUGAGGAGGAAGCCACGGCUAACUACGUGCCAGCAGCCGCGGUAAGAC
rnacentral:rRNA from 1 species